CUCUUGCUGUUGUUGUCAGUCAGUCUGAUGUUUGGAGCACCUUCACUCUUGGAGACACAGCUGAUUUGGAAUGCUUCAUCACUGUGUAUGACGAUGGCAGGACAAGCCCCAGAUGUUCUCUCUGUAUUAUCACUGCAAUUUUCUUCGGAUAGUUUGACAAAAAGCGUUGCUUUGCUACAAGGGAGAGUGGCACCAGAUUUGUGCUGACCAUCUCAGAUUCCACGGCAUCCAACAUGGGGUUGUAUUACUGUGCUGCAAUUAAUUAUGAAAGCAUGAUCUUCGGGAGUUGUGUUUUUCUGAUACAUCAGGGUAUGCAUACAGGCGUUUUAUCUUCUCUUUUAGCAAAUAUAUGUUGUAUUUGUAAAUUGUGCAAAUCAUUGAUAGUUAAGUGAUUUUAUAGUCCUGGUAAAGAUGCAGAUUCCAGGACCCAGCAUGUUGUACAUAAGUCUGUGUCUGAGUCAGUCCAGCCAGGAGAGUCUGAACUGUAAAAUACACACUGAGACCUGUGCAGGAGAACACAGUGUCUAUUGGUUCAGACGUGGCUCAGGAGAAUCUCGUCCAGGAAUCAUUUACACCCAUGGAGACAGUAGUGAUCAGUGUGAGAAGAGCCCUGAGGCUGGGUCUCCUACACAGAUCUGUGUCUACAACCUCCCCAAGAGGAACCUCAGCCUCUCUGAUGCUGGGACUUACUACUGCGCUGUGGCCUCAUGUGGGGAGAUACUAUUUGGGAACGGGACCAAGCUGGAUGUUGAAGAUGGUGACGUUGAUCCAUAGAUGACAAUCCUGGUCCUUCUCUCCAUCAUAAGAACUGGAAUUCUCCUCUGCUGUCUGACCAUCUUCAUCAUCACCCACACCACCAUUAAAUAGAUAAAUCUAUGGCCAAUAUCAAUAGACUGACUGUAUGUAGUAUGUUACUUGCUUUCGCCA